rnacentral:lncRNA from 1 species
ACGAUUUUUGUUUUCUCUUUUAAGACGGGGGAGUUAUGAUACGCUGCCGCCUACUGAUCUACUUCAUGUUCUGGAUAGACCAUGAAAAAACCUCUAGCCCCCAGCUAUAUCCAUAAAAUGAAUUGGCCAGCAGAGACCAAAAACACCUCCCAAGUACAGUUGUGCGCUACUUAUUUCAAUUACAGAUGUGAAGAAAGAGCGUUGGCGUCACAUAGAGAAGAAUUUUCGAAGCGAGAAGCCACAGCCUGCGCACAGCCAGCUCACAGUGAAGACAGAUUUUGUAGAGGCUCUCAGGCAUCUGCAUCCAUGUGGUAUUUCUACCCUCUUCAUCACCAGAAACAAUCCCCUCAACAGGCAGCUCUUCCCUAGAUCUGAUUCAGUAAGGUAGGUUUCAGUGUAAAACUAUACCAUACAAACUGGCAAAGAAGUUAGGAAAGAGGGAAGGAAAACAGAUUCCAGAAGUAUCAUUGAUAAAAAUGUACGUGUACAUUUAAUAUGUAA